CAGAAAUUAUAGAAAUAUUUUUCACAUAUUUUGGGAAUGUAAUGUAUCACAAAACUUCUGGCUAUCCGUUAAACCGUAGAUUGGAUUUAAAAUUAUGGCAUUCUCCUGCCUUUCAGUGCAAAAGAAGUCUUUUUAGGGUGUGUCGGAGGAUUUUGUCAACAGUAAAAUAGUUAAUAAUAUUUUGUUGUUAUUCAAAUAUUAUAUAUACAAAUGUAGCUGUAAGAACAUGACCUCACAAAAUAUGGUGGAAUAGAAUAUUAAAAGUAUUUAAUUAAUAUAGAAAAAUACUAUGUAUGUUUCUUAACCCCUGUACAAAAAGUAAAAAUGGAUCAGAAAUGGAGUUUGAUAGAAGCAGCUUUUAUUUGAUUAAUUAACAAAAUUAUUUUUAAUAUUUAUAUUUAUAUCUUAUUAUAUCCCUAUGACUUAAUUUAUCUUUCGAGUAUUACUUUUAGUUUUUAAAAUGUUUAAUACGAAUACUGUAGUAUGUAAUUUUACAUGUUUCAUGAAAAAUAAAAUAAUUACAAAAAAAUGAGUGGCAAUGAGACAACUCUUCAACCUAGUCACAAUUUGUAAAAGUAAAUCAUUGUAUGUGAAAUUACAGGCUACAACACGGAGCCUUGGCUCACACUACUAGCAAGCUAUAAAGGGCUAUAGGCUACAACACGGAGCCUUGGCUCACACUACUAGCAGCUAUAAAGGGCUAUAG
rnacentral:lncRNA from 1 species